UCCCAUGAAGUGUCGCGAGAGAAACGGACGCCGUUCUCUCCCGCGGAAUUCAGGUUUACGGCCCUGUGGGUUCUCAGAGGGAAGUUUGGACCGUGUUGUUUUCUUCUCACGGAUCCUGCCCUUUCUUCCUGGAAAGAAGACAGCCUCAGGUCCCUAUUGUGGGGCUUUGAAGAGUCCAGGAGUGGGAAUUUCUAGAAUUUGGAAUCGAGUGCAUUUUCUGACAUUUGAGUACAGUACCGAGGGGUUCUUGGAGAAGAACCUGGUCCCAGAGGAGCUUGACUGACCUUAAAAAUGAGUACUGCAGAUGCUCUUGAUGAUGAAAACACAUUUAAAAUCUUAGUUGCAACAGAUAUUCAUCUUGGAUUUAUGGAGAAAGAUGCAGUCAGAGGAAACGAUACGUUUGUAACCCUCGAUGAAAUUUUAAGACUUGCCCAGGGAAAUGAAGUGGAUUUUAUUUUGUUAGGCGGUGAUCUUUUUCAUGAAAAUAAGCCCUCAAGGAAAACGUUACACACCUGCCUCGAGUUAUUAAGAAAAUAUUGUAUGGGUGAUAGGCCUGUCCAGUUUGAAAUUCUCAGUGAUCAGUCAGUCAACUUUGGUUUUAGUAAAUUUCCAUGGGUGAACUAUCAAGAUGGCAACCUCAACAUUUCAAUUCCAGUGUUUAGUAUUCAUGGCAAUCAUGACGAUCCCACGGGGGCAGAUGCACUUUGUGCCCUGGACAUUUUAAGUUGUGCUGGAUUUGUAAAUCACUUUGGACGUUCAAUGUCCGUGGAGAAGAUAGACAUUAGUCCAGUUUUGCUUCAAAAAGGAAGCACAAAGAUUGCGCUAUAUGGUUUAGGAUCCAUUCCAGAUGAAAGGCUCUAUCGAAUGUUUGUCAAUAAAAAAGUAACAAUGUUGAGACCAAAAGAAGAUGAGAACUCUUGGUUUAACUUAUUUGUGAUUCAUCAGAACAGGAGUAAACAUGGAAGUACUAACUUCAUUCCAGAACAAUUUUUGGAUGACUUCAUUGAUCUUGUUAUCUGGGGCCAUGAACAUGAGUGUAAAAUAGCUCCAACCAAAAAUGAACAACAGCUGUUUUAUAUCUCACAACCGGGAAGCUCAGUGGUUACUUCCCUUUCCCCAGGAGAAGCUGUAAAGAAGCACGUUGGUUUGCUGCGUAUUAAAGGGAGGAAGAUGAAUAUGCAGAAAAUUCCUCUUCACACAGUGCGGCAGUUUUUCAUGGAGGAUAUUGUUCUGGCUAAUCAUCCAGAUAUUUUUAACCCAGAUAAUCCUAAAGUAACCCAAGCCAUACAAAGCUUCUGUUUGGAGAAGAUUGAAGAAAUGCUUGAAAAUGCUGAACGGGAACGUCUGGGUAAUUCUCGCCAGCCAGAGAAGCCUCUUGUACGACUGCGAGUGGACUAUAGUGGAGGUUUUGAACCUUUCAGUGUUCUUCGCUUUAGCCAGAAAUUUGUGGAUCGGGUAGCUAAUCCAAAAGACAUUAUCCAUUUUUUCAGGCAUAGAGAACAAAAGGAAAAAACAGGAGAAGAGAUAAACUUUGGGAAGCUUAUCACAAAACCUUCAGAAGGAACAACUUUAAGGGUAGAAGAUCUUGUAAAACAGUAUUUUCAAACUGCCGAGAAGAAUGUGCAGCUCUCACUACUAACAGAAAGAGGGAUGGGUGAAGCAGUACAAGAAUUUGUGGACAAGGAGGAGAAAGAUGCCAUUGAGGAACUAGUGAAAUACCAGUUGGAAAAAACACAGCGAUUUCUUAAAGAACGUCAUAUUGAUGCCCUAGAGGACAAAAUCGAUGAGGAGGUACGUCGUUUCAGAGAAAGCAGACAAAAAAAUACUAAUGAAGAAGAUGAUGAAGUCCGUGAGGCUAUGACCAGGGCCAGAGCGCUCAGAUCUCAGUCAGAGGAGUCUGCCUCUGCCUUUAGUGCUGAUGACCUUAUGAGUAUAGAUUUAGCAGAACAGAUGGCUAAUGACUCUGAUGAUAGCAUCUCAGCAGCAACCAACAAAGGAAGAGGCCGAGGAAGAGGUCGAAGAGGCGGAAGAGGGCAGAAUUCAGCAUCAAGAGGAGGGUCUCAAAGAGGAAGAGCAGACACUGGUCUGGAGACUUCUACGCGUAGCAGGAACUCAAAGACUGCUGUGUCAGCAUCUAGAAAUAUGUCUAUUAUAGAUGGUGAGGAAAUUGAGUCUUAAAGAAGCCAAGGAGAUUGGCCAUAGUCAAGCUACCUUUAAAUCUACAAGACAGCAGCCUUCCCGAAAUGUCACUACUAAGAAUUAUUCAGAGGUGAUUGAGGUAGAUGAAUCAGAUGAGGAAGAAGACAUUUUUCCUACCACUUCAAAGACAGAUCAAAGGUGGUCCAGCACAUCAUCCAGCAAAAUCAUGUGCCAGAGCCAAGUAUCGAAAGGGGUUGAUUUUGAAUCAAGUGAGGAUGAUGAUGAUGAUCCUUUUAUGAACACUAGUUCUUUAAGAAGAAAUAGAAGAUAAUAUAUUUAAUGGCACUGAGAAACAUGCAAGAUACAGGAAAAAUCAAAAUGUUACAAGCUAAGAGUUUACAGUUUAAGAUUUUUAAGUAUUGUUUCCUGAGCAUGACUCCAUAAGUAAGAAAUUUCUAGCUCAAGGACAUAUACAGUAGCAUUGAUUCACCUUGUUUUUUUUAACCUGGUUGUUAUAGUAAGAGCUUUGUUUCAGUAUCAUUCUUGAGUAAAGAUUAAAAUAAAGCUACCAUUUUACAUUUCUGCUUCAUGAUCAAAAACUAUGUCAGUAUUUUAAUAUGGUUACAUUUAGCCAAAGUUGAGGGAAAGAGCUUAUAAAAUUUAACUUCUUCGUAAUUUUAGUAAUUUCCUAGAGGUUCCGGGUUUCCUGAAAGUAAAACAAUUUAUGUGAACCUGUGCCUAAAUUCACUGUUUGUUAAUAUGUAUGUUUUUUUCUAAUGCUUCUUAAAAGACUAAAUGAUUAGAUGUACCUAAUAGUUUGAACAGAUAUGUUCUUAUUUAAAAGAGUAGAAUAACCUGUCAGAAUUACUGAGUUUUUUAUUCCAGUUGUAGCAAAGAUUUCAAAAGAUUAUGUUCCCAUUAAGUGGUAGUAAUUUCCUUUAUUGUUCUGUAUCCUUAAUGGUGUUCUCUGUCUCUCUCUCCCCCAUUUCCCCCUCUCCCUUUCUCCCGUUCUUUUUCUUCUCUUUCAUACAUAUGUGUGUGCCUAUUUCUAGGAGGAAAAGGGUUAAAAAUUGUUUUAAACUACAUCCUGAAAAUAUUAAAGAAUUUGUUUUAGGUAGCGUGGUCAGCUGAACCUUACAGUAAAGUAUAGAAAUAUAUUUAAUGUGGAAUGUCAAUUCCAGGAUUUCUCAUUAACAAUUUUUAUCUUAACUUUGGUUCCUGUGAAACAUUUCUGAAUGGGUAAUUCCAGAAGUCUUAGUAGCUCAUGUUAAGUUUCUGUUUUUUACUUGUUUUCAGGGAGAAAUAAGAAUUAGGUAUCUUCAGAUUUAAGUUAAAUAAUCCCAAUCUUCUUCAUAAUACUCUGUAAAAAGAUCCCUGAGAUUAUUCCUUCUUUUAGUCUUAUGCAACAGCUUUACUUUAAAAUUCUGUAAGGAAGUUAUAGAUCUUGGGAGUACAACAGCCCGACGACAUUUCUUCAUAGGUAGAAACAAAUACUUGAGUCAUUGAUACUCAUGACCGUUAGAAUAGUCAUACCUGGAAUGUGUCAAAUUAUAAGAGACAGAUGUUUGGUUAGUGGCUGCCUCAUAUACCACUUUUGAAGAGGCCUAAGUCAAAACUUGCAAUAUAACAUUCUGUUGACUUUCUUAAAAAUAUUUUUUCUGUACCUAACUUGAGCAUAAGGGUUAUUUGAGCAAGUACCAUUAACUUAGUGGAAGGCAUUGUCCUGUGAAAUAUUCUCAGGCAGAUCUGCCCACAUCUUUAUUGCACUUGAAAUUUAAUAUUUCUAGUAUUUGAUCAAAGCAGAGGGUUAAGUCAGGGGAGAGCAGUGCUGUCCAUGAGGGAGUGGAAGCUACCAGGGCAGGCAGUGUCUGGGUGAUACUGUGCUACCUACGCCUGCACAAGCCAUGCUGGCUCAGACUGAGCUGUGGGCCACAUCAGCUAGUGGCUCUUCUCAUGCAUCAGUUAGGGGGGUCUGGAUGAGAGUAAUAGUGAGGGAAUGGUCACUAAAGUAUCCUGACAAGUUCCUAGGAAAAAAGGAAUAGGCUUUUUUCCUUUAAAAAAAAAAUUGCUCUUGGCUGUGAAAAGAGGUACUAAAUGUGAUUCACUUCACCACUAAGGAAAGUGAUGCCAUAGCAGUUACAGAGGGUGAAAAAUCUCUCCAACUAAUUCAGGUCAUUUUGUGAAUAGUAUGUAUCAAGCCCUGAAAAUAUGGUAAAUAAAACGUGACAGGGAAGCCUUUCUUUGAUUGAAUAUUGUUACAUAGUUAAAUGUGCUAUAUAUCCUUAAUAUUUUAUAUUGAUGUUGCAAAUCGGUUGGUUUUGGGGGAGUUUCAUUUUUUGUUUGUAACAAUUUUCAGACCUGUUGGUAUAGGAGUGUAGAGGUCUUUCAGAUGAUUUGAAAGCAGCUGCAUUUGCUCUUGGAGGCUUUGGGGGAGCAGGAAUGAAAAUAUUCAGAGGAAAACAUCUGUAGGGAAUUCUUCUGUUGCUUACCAAAGAAUAAAUAUCUUUCUGGUGUUUUGUUUCCUAUCAUAAAAAUACAACAGUGCAUUUACAAGGUUAAAGAUUCCUCGAAGUUCUAGGAAAUUCUAGAAAAUAUAAGUGGUGCUUAGAAAAUUCAAGCAUUUAGGAAUGUGACCUUUUAAUUCAGGUACGUGAAAGACUUUUUUCCCCAAACUUUUAAAAGUAGGAAAUACAAUAAAUACAGAAAAGUCAUAUGGUUGAAUAAAUUAUUAUAAAGUGAGCACUGAUAGAAUCCCUAUACAGGUCAAGAAAUAGCGCACUGUCCUGGACCCCCAUUAUAUUUUCUCCUUUCUGGGUAACCAGCCCUGACUUCUGUAAUUUAAAAGCUCCUACUUUUGCCACAAGGUGGUGCUUCUGUCAUUACAUGCAGUUAGGAGGAUGCAACUGCAAAUCUAAAAUUAGGAAGUUAGUGUAGUUGCAAUAAACUUAGAACAUAUGCAUUAAUACUAAACCUAUACAGUAAUACCAUAAUUAGCCUUCUAAUCAUGUAAAUUGCUUUACUUAGGAAUUUCAUUUGGUUUAGCCUGUUAUGGAAUUUACCAGCUUGAUAAAUUUUGCAUAUCAAGGUUUAUAAAGAAAAGGAAAAUUUUAUGUUUUCAUAAAGAGAAAGAUCCAUUCUUAGAAAAAAAAACUGAGUAAAAAGUAUCUCAGUGGGCUGGGCAUGGUGGCCCACGCCUUUAAUCCCAGCACUUUGGGAGACCAAGGCAGGUAGAUCACCUGAGGUUAGGAGUUUGAGACCAGCCUGACCAACAUGGUGAAACCUCGUCUCUACUAAAAAUACAAAAAAUUAGCCGGGCAUGGUGGCAUGUGCCUGUAAUCCUAUAGCUACUCAGGAGGCUGAGGCAUGAGAAUCGCUGAACCCAGGAGGCGGAGAUUGCAGUGAACCGAGAUUGCGCCAUUGCACUCCAGCCUGGGCAACAAGAGCAAAACUCAGUCUCAAAAAAAAAAAAAACCUCAAUGUAAAAUAUCUUAUUUGGAAAUAUAGAAUUUAAAAGCAACUUUCCCCCAAAGUAAUCUGAUGUCCUUUUUGUAUCUGUCAUAUAUUUAAUUCAUAGUAUUUUGUGUUUUUUUUUAAAGCUAACUAGCACUAAGAUCAUUAUAGAAGUUUGGUUUAAUAAAGAUUUGGGUUUUUCAGCCCAGUGAGUUUCCAUAUUCUUGAAUGAAAAAGAUCCACAUUUCAUCAUUUGCCUGUUUCACUUUCUUUUAGUACUUUUGAACUUAGUUUGGUCAGAAAAUACUAGAAUUUUAGUUUGAUCUAAAGAACCAGCUUACAUAACUUGCUAUUGCAAUGUACAUUUGUAUGUUUUUGGUGUGUCAAAUAACUGGAUCUGAUUUUAGCUCUUUUUAAGUGGUAAAAACAAUGCAUUUUUAUUCUUCAAAUUCAGACAUUGAAUACAUAUUAAAAUGUGUAUGCUUACCUGUCAUCUUCUCCCUAUCAACAAUUAGGAACAUGUUUCUCCAAUUACUGUUGGCACGACUACCAAGAAAAAUUGUUGAAUUAGAACCCCAGCGCCGGGCAUGGUGGCUCAUGCCUGUGAUCCUAGCACUUUGGGAGGCCAAGGCAGGCGGAUCAUCUGUCAGGAGUUUGAGACCAGCCUGGCCAACAUGGUGAAACCCCAACUCUACUAAAAAGACAAAAAUUAGCUAGGCAUGGUGGUGAGUGCCUAUAAUCCCAACUACUCAGGAGGCUGAGGCAGGAGAAUCACUUGAACCUGGGAGUUGGAGGUUGCAGUGAGCCAGUAUCACGCCAUUGUACUCCAGCCUGAGCGACAGAGCAAGACUCUGUCUCAGUCAGUCAGUCAAUCAAUAAAAACCCCAGAUUGUAUAGCUACAUAUUUUAGUCCCCUUAUCAAAGUAUAUGUUCUCCUUGGUACUUAUUUUGAUAUUCUGAUUUUUCUACAUAUGCUUUAUCAACCUCUUAAUUAAACCAUCAUUGUCUAUUUUGAGAGAUAACUGCACUGCUUCCCAUUGUGUGUUUUAAAUGUUGUUCUUCAGUUUGAGUCAAAUAAAAGGAUAUUUAAUCUAUGGUGCCUUGA